UACGUAGGGGGCGAGCGUUGUCCGGAAUUAUUGGGCGUAAAGGGCGCGCAGGCGGUUUGUUAAGUCUGAUGUGAAAGGCCACGGCUCAACCGUGGGAUGGCAUUGGAAACUGGCAGACUUGUGUGCAGGAGAGGCGAGCGGAACUCCCGGUGUAGCGGUGAAAUGCGUAGAGAUCGGGAAGAACACCAGUGGCGAAGGCGGCUCGCUGGCCUGUAACAGACGCUGAGGCGCGAAAGCGUGGGUAGCGAACAGG
rnacentral:rRNA from 1 species